GAAGGUUUUUCAUCCAGCAAGAUGAUGUUGCAGUAGAAGUCAGUCCUGGCCUGACAUGAUCUCUGCUGUGCAAGACAACAAAAGAUCUUUUACAAGAGAGGAACAGAACAGAUGUGCUGCUCAGUCCAAACUAAGUGGUGAUACUGAGAUGUCAAACCUGUUAGAAUUAACCCCUGUGGAGCCUGGCAGGCACCUUUGGAGACAUGCUUCCCUACAGAAGUGGAGUUGCAGCGUGUUUCUGAGGCAUCUGAUGCUGUUGAGUGGCUCCCUUGAGUGAGAUUGAUUUUGGGAAGAACAGCUGGAGGUUGGAGCAGGCAGAGCACAGGCACAGCUGCUACAGCAGUACAGAAGUGAAUAACAACCCAGAGGAGAAGCCUGCUGUUUGCACACAGGGCUGGGAGCCCUUCACAACUGGGAACUGCACAGCAAGGGUAAGGACUGGGUAUAGUGUGUGAACUCUACAGAAAAUGGCAUUUUCCUGGAUAAUUUACAAACAAGCUGAUAUUCUUUGGGAUAGCUGGGAAUCUUGGACUUCACUGGAAGGGUUUGGAAGCCCUCUCAGAGAAAGGUCUUGGGGCUGGACUCUCUGGACCCAGGGCUUCAGACAAUGUUGUUGACAGUAUUUCAUUCUAAAUUAAAAAACCCAAAAAACAAACAGCUUUAGAUGUUGCAGUUUUAUUUUCAGCUGUAGUAAGUGCAUUUUACCACAGUAGCAGAGCAGUCAGAUGUUUGAUGCUAACCAGGACAUGAUAUUGGCUUUAUGAACUAGUAGUUUCAGUAUUCAAUGAGAUAUUAAUGACCUCUCCAGCAGAAUUACCCACUCAGCAAAGCAGAUGACUGAUAGUGACAGGGGCCACCAGGGCUGGAGAGCUGACAAGCUCAUCCUAUGGCCCUGGAUGGGGACUGAGGAAGAGAUUUGGUUCCCAGCUGUGCUCCCAGGACAAUGUGAUUUCAGGGAGGUUGGUUUGCAUUAUUUUGUCAUAAAGUGCCUGUCUGUGUAAGGUGGGUUAAUGCAGCAG
rnacentral:lncRNA from 1 species